GAACGCACCUUGCACCCUUUGGCAUUCCGAAGGGUAUGCUCGUUUGAGUGUCAUGAAAUUCUCAACUACUUUUUUAACAUUUUAUGUGUUAAGGGUGAAGUUGGAGUUGGAGGAUAAUUGCUGGCGCAACUCUUGUCUAAGGUUGCUUGUUGGCUCCUCUUGAAUGGAUGAGCUUUUCUAAUGGAUCAUAGCUCAGUAACACUAAUGUGAUAAUUAUCUACGUUAGAUGUGAAAACUAUGAGUAGAGUGGAAGCUCCUAUAGAAAAGAAGAUAAUACGUCUUGGGUGAUAACAAACCCUUGAACUUUGACAAAUCUGACCUCAAAUCAGGUAGGACUACCCGCUGAACUUAAG
rnacentral:misc_RNA from 1 species